AGUCACCAGGAAAUCUACAGCCACCAGGUGGGCAGUCACUUUUACAGGCUACAUUGUCACAACCUGACCUACCAAAUGCUCUGCAUGAAUGCCUAGUAGAUUCGCAGUCAGAAAGAGCAACUCAACCAUCACAGUUAGUUCUUUCUGAAGAUGCUGCUGCAAGAGUUGAUCAACAGGUUGCUGCUGACAAUAGAUUGCUUUCACAAAGAUCCAAUUUAGCAGAUGCUGCAGAAUCCCAGCCUUUGACAUCACAGGCAUCUGCUCAGGCACCUGUAGCAAGAGAAACCUUCAACUCAAGAUUUCGUGAAGACUUCACGGUGAUCAAAGUAUUGGUAAAGAUGUGAGUCCAGAGGUUCUAGCCCUGGCGCCACUCGUCCAUCCAUACAUUGUGCGCUACUAUCAGGCAUGGAUGGAAACCCCACCCCAAGGCUGGCAGGCGGAACAAGACUC